rnacentral:rRNA from 1 species
GACGAACGCUGGCGGCGUGCUUAAUACAUGCAAGUCGAACGGAAAGGCCCCUUUGUUGGUACUCCAGUAGCGAACGCGUACGUAACACUAGAGUAACCUGCCCUUGACUUCGGGCUAACUUCAGGAAAUUGGGGCGAAUACUGGUAAGGCAUCCUUGCUUUAUGGUGAGGGUUGGAAAGUUUCGGCGGUUUUGGAUGGACUCGCGGCUUAUCAGCUUGUUGGUGGGGUAGUUGCUUACCAAGGCGUUGACGGGUAGCCGGCCUGAGAGGGCGACCGGCCACAUUGGGACUGAGAUACGGCCCAGACUCCUACGGGAGGCAGCAGUGGGGAAUAUUGCCCAAUGGGCGGAAGCCUGAUGCAGAAACGCCGCGUGCGGGAUGACGGGCUUCGGGUUGUAAACCGCUUUCAGCAGGGGCGAAGCUUGUGGUGACGGUACCUGCAGAAGAAGAAACGGCUAACUACGUG